rnacentral:lncRNA from 1 species
GCCCAGUUAUGGGGGGAGUGGGGCCCGAUUUUACUGUAGGGGCAGUACUGAGAGGGGGCAACCGUGAAAGGGUUGCCACCUCCUGCUGAGAAGGGAAGUGACAGGGCCAUAGCUGGCCGGCAGAGGGAGAGCCACCGCGCGCCCUUGAGACAAAGGGGGCAGCUGGGAGCUCCUGGACCAGAGAACAGGGGAAGAUGGGACCUCACUGAGGGACCCUCACCCAUGCAAAACUGGGGGCCGCCACCUCACCCCCUUACUGGCAGCCGAUUCCGGCGGGCCUGAGACAAGGGGGGGCAGCUGGAAGCCCCCGAAGCAAGGGGGAAGAGAGGAUGGGACCUCUCAGAAGGGGGUCUCAUCCCUUAAACAAAAGUAUUUAAGCCCCA